GGGGGUGACCUGGUUUCGACAGUGACCGGAAAUCCGACGUGCAUGCCGAGGUGCAGAGGCCCUCGUAAAACACUUCUGCAAACAAGCUAGUUGCGAACGACGCUAACUACGCCCUCGCCGCCUAAAUCCGGUGAGCGGUUGACCAGGUGGUGUUGAUGCCCCUGACUCAGCCGUCGACUCUCAUCAACUCGCGAUAAAGGCAGGUCACUGGCCAAUACGCUAAAACCCUAAAGUGAAUAAGCGAAAGCGAUCCGUGCCCGUCCGGGAGCUUUCGAUGAAAAAUAAAGACUGGCUACGCAUGUAGAGCGAACGACGGAAAGUUGUUGGACGCGGGUUCGAUUCCCGCCACCUCCACCA
rnacentral:tmRNA from 1 species